rnacentral:rRNA from 1 species
UACGUAGGGACCAAGCGUUGUUCGGAUUUACUGGGCGUAAAGGGCGCGUAGGCGGUCUGUCACGUCAGGAGUGAAAACUCGGGGCUCAACCCCGAGCCUGCUUCUGAUACGGGCAGACUAGAGGUAUGCAGGGGAGAACGGAAUUCCUGGUGUAGCGGUGAAAUGCGCAGAUAUCAGGAGGAACACCGGUGGCGAAGGCGGUUCUCUGGGCAUUACCUGACGCUGAGGAGCGAAAGUGUGGGGAGCGAACAGG